GAGGAAGACGAGCACCAGACGAGAAGAGAGAGGAAGACGAGCACCAGACGAGGAGAGAGAGGAAGACGAGCACCAGACGAGGAGAGAGAGGAAGACGAGCACCAGGCGAGGAGAGAGAGGUCGAGCUGUAAACAACAGCUACAAAAAUGAAGAAUAAGAGGUUGAAAAGCCACUAAAACUCUACUUCCUGUGAUGAGUUUCACUUGAGAAGGAAGAGCGAGAGAGAGAGAGCAUCACAGCUACUGUAGGACAUCUUGUCUGCCAUUUCAACCCUAACAGCCACAUGACACCCCUGAUGGGAUCCUUAUAUUAAUGAACUAAGAUAUAAAGUAAGGAGAAGAUCAAAUCUACUGCUAGACUUUGACUGGGGUUGACCAGACCCAUAUAGGACUUUUAAUGUUUGAGAAUAUUCACUGUUAAUGGACAGAACGCUUAUCGCUUCACAGAACAAAAUAACAUUACUAAAAAAAUGGGUUUUGUUGCUUUUGGGUUUAGUUAUUUUGUUAUGUUUUUUUUUCUUUAUUUCUCUUUUGUUUCUAGUUUUAAAGGGUGGGAGAUGUGGUCCAGACUAACACAGAAAGUUCAAACUGGUCGAAACUGAAUUGAACAGGUUUAACACUGACCCUGGAAUGCACUGGUCUGACCCUGGAUUGAAUUGGUCUGAAGCAGUACUUCCUAUUAAAGAAAACAGAUGCUGUUGGCUUAAACUCAUAUCGAGUAAAUUAUAUAUUUUUUGGUUUCAUAUUAUUUUGUUUUGAUUUAAUUUCUUACGUUUGAUUUAUUUUAUUUCAGUUAAUUUAUUUUUUAUAUAUAUUUCUUUUAAUUAGCCCAUUGGGGGGGUGAAUAUGAUUUCUGUAAAUACUGUUUUGUUUCCUAGUCUCUGUGUCAAUGAUUGACAAGCAGGAAUAGAUCACAGUCCUCACUCCUAUCACCACACAGACCAUCACUUUUCAUUUAUGAAUGAAUUCCUGUGUAAUAAUAGCGAUGGCAAUGAUGAUGACUGUGAUGAUGAAGAUUAAGAAAUGUUUCGCUAACGCCAUCAAACGAUGACAUCUACCAGAUAUCCACAAGACAAGUCUGAUUUUUGUUUAUUUGGUGAUUGUUUUGUCAAAUAUGUACAUUUAGUCUUGGUUUCAGGAUACAGGCCUCACAGAGAGGGAGUUUGAUAGACUUCAGGCUACGAGGGACAGGCCUCACAGAGAGGGAGUUUGAUAGACUUCAGGCUACGACGGACAGGCCUCACAGAGAGGGAGUUUGAUAGGCUACGAGGGACAGGCCUCACAGAGAGGGAGUUUGAUAGACUUCAGGCUACGACGGACAGGCCUCACAGAGAGGGAGUUUGAUAGACUUCAGGCUACGACGGACAGGCCUCACAGAGUUUGAUAAUGUAAAAGGAAACCUUCACAUUUGUCAGAUUAUUUAAAGAAAGGAAGACAAAAAAAAGAAUUGAUUCAGUGUCAAAUGUUUUGUUCUUGUAUUCACACUUUGCAUCAAAUCACAUAUUAUUUAUUAGCCUGGUGAUUAUUUCCUGUCACAUGACCCUUAAGUUAAUUAAGUUAAGUUAAUUAAGACCGGAGGGGGAGGAGAGACAGUUAAUUAAGACCAGAGAGAGGGAGGGAGGGGGAGGAGAGACAGUUAAUUAAGACCAGAGAGAGGGAGGGAGGAGGAGGAGAGACAGGAAGUACAAAGGUAAAACAUGAGAUGUACUGUUAGUGUGUUAAACUCAAUCAAAUACACUCACACCCAAAAACGGGUUCAAUUUAUGGAUCUAA
ensembl:lncRNA